UGUACACAUCUGUACACAGAUAAAAUAUAAGAGGUAAAACUGAAAGACCUCCGAAGGGAGUCCCUCACUCAAGUCUCGGGAUAAUAGUGGACCCCCAAGAACUCAUGAGAGA
rnacentral:pre_miRNA from 7 species